UGAACUAAUCAAUUAUCUUUCCGGCUCAGACGGCAUAGGGUAAGCGUAUGGGGCUGUCAUGUGAUGAACGAGUGACUCGGAAAAACCCGAAGACUCAAGAGAUUAACUAAUCAAUUCUCUUUCCGGCUC